rnacentral:tRNA from 1 species
GGGGCUGUAGCUCAGUGGUAGAGCACUUGCCUUGUGCAUGUAAGGCCCUGGGUUUGAGCCCCAGCACCA